rnacentral:lncRNA from 1 species
GUAGAACUUCUCUUUCAUCUCUAGAGUAGAUUCAGAACAUCCACUAGAGGGCAAACAUCUUCUCUAGUUUCCUGUCACCAGAUACUUAGGUGGCACAGAUGUCUGCAAGGCCGUUCUUGUGUCCUUGAGCCGCUCUGCCCCAGCACUGCCUGAAGCCCAUCUGUAGCCCAUCUUCCAGUCCCUGAACAAUUAAAGGCCAUAGGCUCAGAGUUGGUUUUGAUCAGUUUCUACCCAUGCAGGUUCAGGCAAGCGGCGGCACGCCUCAGAGUGAGCAGUUGCUGUGGCUGCUCGCUGAUCUCAUCGAUCUCAUCACCGGACUGCCAUCUGCUAUUGUCCCGAAGCCUGAGACUUGGCCUCCUGCCUCAGAAGUUCCUCUGGCUCCUUCACACCAUCUUCUGUUUACUAGUCUCCAUAGACAACUUUAUUUCUCAUUUGCUUAAGCAACUAGUUUUUUCUUCUUCUCUUUACACUUAGUUCCUAAUCUUCCACCCUUGUAAAAAGCAAUUUUAUGUUUAAAAUGUCUUAUUUCUGUGUAUUAUAAUAAAUUAUAUUAAUAAAAUUGGAUUUUAAAAUA